UCCAAGCUCCUCUGCUAUGCUUAUGAUG
rnacentral:piRNA from 1 species